UUUUGCAUAUUCCAAAAGCGGAGGAAAAGAAACCAACAGGGAUUGCCUCAGUAACGGCGAGUGAAGCGGCAAAAGCUCAAAUUUGAAAUCCCCCCGGGGAGUUGUAAUUUGAAGAUUGCGUCUUGGAGGCGACCGUGUCUAUGUUCCUUGGAACAGGACGUCACAGAGGGUGAGAAUCCCGUGCGGCACGGCCCCCGGCUCCUUAUAAGGCGCUCUCGACGAGUCGAGUUGUUUGGGAAUGCAGCUCAAAGUGGGUGGUAAAUUCCAUCUAAAGCUAAAUACAGGCGAGAGACCGAUAGCGAACAAGUACAGUGAUGGAAAGAUGAAAAGCACUUUGAAAAGAGAGUGAAACAGCACGUGAAAUUGUUGAAAGGGAAGGGCAUGCCGUCAGAUUGUCAGUGUGGGUAAGAAGCGGGGUACAAAGACUGUGGAACGUGGCCCUCGGGUGUUAUAGCCGCAGUUCAUGCCCCGUCUCUUCCGAGGCCUGCUUUGAGGACACCGACGUAAUGACGGUACGCCGCCCGUCUUGAACCACGGGACCAAAA
rnacentral:rRNA from 1 species